rnacentral:misc_RNA from 1 species
AAGGAUCAUUACACACUGAGCAAUGCCUAUAGGGUGCGACCGGCUUUUGCGGUCGUCUCUAGAGGUGUAGCCAGCCUACCCUUGCUUAUAUCAACCUUUGUGCAUCCCUCGGCGGGGAGACCCGCCGCUGGGACCAUGAAAACCCUCUUGCAUCAAGCACCCACAUUCUGAAUUUAUUUUAAACGUUUACAACUUUCAACAAUGGAUCUCUUGGUUCUG